rnacentral:rRNA from 1 species
AGAGUUUGAUCCUGGCUCAGAACGAACGCUGGCGGCGUGCCUAACACAUGCAAGUCGAACGCGAAAAGCAGUAAUGCUGAGUAGAGUGGCGCACGGGUGAGUAACACGUAACUGACCUGUCCUAGACAAUGGGAUAACCGACCGAAAGGUUGGCUAAUACCGUAUAAGCUCCCGACCUUGGGGUUGAGAGAAAAUGAUUGGGACCCGCAAGGGCCAAUCGGUUUAGGAGGGGGUUGCGGCCCAUCAGGUAGUUGGCGGGGUAACGGCCCACCAAGCCAAAGACGGGUAGCUGGUCUGAGAGGAUGAUCAGCCACACUGGAACUGAGACACGGUCCAGACUCCUACGGGAGGCAGCAGUGGGGAAUCUUGCGCAAUGGGCGAAAGCCUGACGCAGCAACGCCGCGUGGGUGAUGAAGGUCUUCGGAUCGUAAAGCCCUGUCGGAGGGGAAGAUGUGUUCACUGUCUAAUCGACAGUGGAUGUGACGGUACCCUUAAAGGAAGCACCGGCUAACUCUGUGCCAGCAGCCGCGGUAAUACAGAGGGUGCAAGCGUUGUUCGGAAUUAUUGGGCGUAAAGGGAGUGUAGGCGGUUUCUUAAGUCUCAUGUGAAAUCUGCGGGCUUAGCCUGACAAAGUGCAUGGGAAACUGGGAAGCUUGAGUGUCGGAGAGGAUAGGGGAAUACCCGAUGUAGAGGUGAAAUUCGUAGAGAUCGGGUGGAACACCAGUGGCGAAGGCGCCUAUCUGGCUGACAACUGACGCUGAGACUCGAAAGCAUGGGGAGCAAACAGGAUUAGAUACCCUAGUAGUCC